AUGCUACAAGAGGUUGCUGCAAAGAAGCUCCGUACAAGGCUUUCACAGCUUGGUGCAAAAUCGAUCAUAGUGAUUGGAUUGGGAGAUGACCAAGACUCUUCAGGAUAUGAAAAAGCUCUAGGUCCUUGGCUGCUGUCUUUCUGGAAAUCACUGAAUCGAAAAAAUCCAUCGCUUUUACCAAGAAUUCAGGCUCGUCCGCGGGCACUCGUACGAGCGUCCAAGCACUGCGAUGAAUGUCCCGUGCACAUCUGCGCCUCUACCACAAACAUUCGGAAAAAAGAGGAUUCCCCUAGUGUGGAAAAUAGAUAG
rnacentral:rRNA from 1 species